GAUGAACGCUAGCUACAGGCUUAACACAUGCAAGUCGAGGGGCAGCAUAGGGUUUGCUUGCAAACUCUGAUGGCGACCGGCGCACGGGUGAGUAACGCGUAUCCAACCUGCCCAUGGCUAGGGAAUAGCCCGUUGAAAAGCGGAUUAAUGCCCUAUGGCGUCCUUUGCAGACAUCUAACGAGGACUAAAGGUUUACCGGCCAUGGAUGGGGAUGCGUCCGAUUAGGUAGUUGGCGGGGUAACGGCCCACCAAGACCGCGAUCAGUAGCCGACCUGAGAGGGUGAUCGGCCACAUUGGGACUGAGACACGGCCCAAACUCC
rnacentral:rRNA from 1 species